CUCUUUUUUCCAUUCAUCAUUAUUGUUUUUAUAAUGAUCUCUUAGAUUGAAGUAUUUGACAUGGAAUCUCCAUAUUUACUAAAAANAAAAAAANGGNAAUAANAAAUCUAUAAAUGUUAUACAGAANGAUCNGGAAAGAGAUACUUUUAUGUCCGCAACCGAAGCUCAAAAUUAUCUGUCGAUUGCAUAANAAAUUNAAAAAAAAAAUCCUUAGACUGAAAAAAAUGGAGAAUUUAUACUACUUAGUAUAGAAAAAAAAANUCGUCUUUUUUCUAUAUUAAUUUUUAAAAAUUAACGAAAAUCAAAUGUAUUAAUCCUCUAGGUAUACUUACGCAAUAUACCUUUAUUUAUAUUAUAUUUUNAUAAACCUCCGGGUAUACUUACCUNAAUAGAGAUAUUUUAGAGACUACUAUACUAGUAUAUUUUUUUCCUUACCCAAUAUACUAGUUUAAAAAACUAAUAUAUUGGGUAUAUUGGGUAUUUCUCAAAUUAAUAUUCAAAUUUUGAAUAUAAUGAACAAUUCAAAAGAUCU
rnacentral:misc_RNA from 1 species